UGGGGAAUUUUGGACAAUGGGCGAAAGCCUGAUCCAGCAAUGCCGCGUGUGUGAAGAAGGCCUUCGGGUUGUAAAGCACUUUUGUCCGGAAAGAAAUCCUUGGCUCUAAUACAGUCGGGGGAUGACGGUACCGGAAGAAUAAGCACCGGCUAACUACGUGCCAGCAGCCGCGGUAAUACGUAGGGUGCAAGCGUUAAUCGGAAUUACUGGGCGUAAAGCGUGCGCAGGCGGUUUGCUAAGACCGAUGUGAAAUCCCCGGGCUCAACCUGGGAACUGCAUUGGUGACUGGCAGGCUAGAGUAUGGCAGAGGGGGGUAGAAUUCCACGUGUAGCAGUGAAAUGCGUAGAGACGUGGAGGAAUACCGAUGGCGAAGGCAGCCCCCUGGGCCAAUACUGACGCUCAUGCACGAAAGCGUGGGGAGCAAACAGGAUUAGAUACCCUGGUAGUCCACGCCCUAAACGAUGUCAACUAGUUGUUGGGAUUCAUUUCCUAGUAACGUAGCUAACGCGUGAAGUUGACCGCCUGGGGAGUACGGUCGCAAGAUUAAAACUCAAAUGAAUUGAC
rnacentral:rRNA from 1 species